UCCAGCCUCCUGUCUCCCAUCAUGACCACCUAUUGGCCAAUGGGAAGUCAGCCCACCCGGAGUCUGGGCAAUGCAGCCGGCAGAGGUCAGCCACUCUGUAAUUCAGUGAAGAAUGGAGGAAGGGCGGGCAAUGGCUCUGAGGACAGAGGAACAGCCCCUACCCAAGAGGCCCUCCCUUCCUGGUCCCAGUUCCCACCAGGCAGCCCCCAUGUGGUUCUAGCCCUGGCUUUUUGUAUCCAGUGACACCACAGCCUCCUUCUGUGCCUCUGGCCUCCGGCUGUGGCCCAUUCCAGGGUGCCUAAUCCUGCCCUUUUGGCGUCUCAGCUCUCCCAUCGUCUGUAUAAGCACUUCCCUGUACGCCAUUCCUUCUGUUUGAAAUGCCCAGAGUGAUCUCCGCUUUCCAGACUGGACCCCAGCUGAUGCACCCGCCACGCCAUAAUUUACAGAAUGGCCGCAGGGGCACCACGUGAAGUUUGUGGAUUGAUGGAGUAAUGAACCAGAGGGCAGGGCAGAAACUAAGUGAGCUGGGUCCCCAAGGCUAGGCAAUCCAGAGGCACACUGGGCCCAGCUUCAGAGCAACCGCGGCAAUCUUGAGACUGGCCUGGAGUCUGCAGAGAUGCUGAGGGUUCACGAGUCGGGCUCCGGGGCAGCCUCUCUCGAGGGCCCUGUGUGCCUGUGUCCUACGUCACCCGUACUCCCCUGCACAGCUGCCAUAAGAAAGGACCGCAGACCGGGCAGCUUAAACCAUGGAAGUUUAUCGUCUUGUGGUUCUGGAGGCUGGAAGUCUAAGAUCAAAGUGUCAGCAGCAUUGGUUCCCUCUGAGGCCUCUCUCCUUGGCUUGUGGAUGGUUGUCCUCUCCCUGUGUCUUCACAAGGUCAUCCCUCUGUGUGUGCCCGUGACCUCAUCUCCUCUUCUCACAGGGACACCGGUCCUAGUGGAUUCGGGCCCACCCUCAUGACCUCAUUUUACCUUAACCACCUCUUCAAAAACCGCUCUCCAAACACAGUCCCAUUGGAGGUCCUGGGGGCUAGGACUUCAAUACAUGGAUUUGGGGGGACACAGUUCAGCCCGUAACAACCCCCAAUAUCACAGGGUGGGCAUUAUUGGCCUUGUUUUCCGAAGGACGAAAUGGAGGCUUAGACACUUGUUUGCGCAAGGCCUCCAGAGCUGGGGCCGCUCGGUCCAGGGGCUGCUUCUCCCCCUCCAGGCCCCGGGAAUCUUCUCACUCUCGUGCCUGCCUCAGACCCCAGGAGACGGAUUCCAGUCUCCCUUUAAUUCCUUUCCCGCGUGAUGAGACAAUGACCCAGCGUUUAUUGAGAUUUGCUAUGUGCCAGGUUCGUCCACUGGCGUCUUAUAUGUUGUGCUCCAAGAUGUGGCUCCUUCAGGCCUCUGCUCACACCCUCUCCGAGACGCCCUCCCCGAGCCCGUGUCUGUAAUGUGCCUCCACCCCCAGACCCAUCCCCUGCUUUAUUUUCCUUUACGGUGUCAUCAGUACCUGAAAUUACCUUGUCUGCCUGUUUACUUGUUGAUUGUCUCCCCCACUAGACUGAGAGCCCCAUGAGGGCAGGACCAGGUCCUGGUGCACCCUCAGUGCCUGGAGACUCUCAUCAACCACUGACAUCAGAGGGGCUCAGUGUUGGUUCAAUAGAUGAUGAAUGAAUGAAUUCUCUCUUUGAAUCCUCAUCAGACAUCUCAUUCUCUAGAAGAAGAGACUGAGGGUCAGAGAAAGUCCCUAAUCUGCCCAAGCUCCGCCAGCUAGGAAGUGGUGAAGCUGGAGUUCACACCCGGGUCUCUGCUCUCGACUUCACACCCUGGCCAGUCACCUUGCCUCAGCCGUCCUCCCAAACCUCCCCCUGGUCUAUGGCUUCCCAGACCAUCCUCACAGCUACCCUGAGCCUCUCUGGUUCUGGAAAUUCCCAGUGCCUUGCUGAGCUGGGCUGCAGUGUCAUUCUGUGCCAGCAAGUGUCACCAGAGAAUUCCUCGCGGCCACAGUCAGCUCUCUAGCACUCUAGAACAUGAAUGUGCCGCAGUUUAAUUAAUCACCUUUGAGGAUAUUUCCAGGGUUUUACUCCACAAACCAAGCUACAUCCUUGUACCUGUGUUCAUGGGGUGUGAGCCCUGCCCUCAACCCACUGCAGCUCUUCACUGCCCGUGGGUCCUGUCCCCAUGCUAUUCUCUGAAUACAGGAGCACUACUGCCACACCCUGAGAGUCCAAGAAAUCUUUCUUUCGACUCCUUGGCUCACUGACCCCGCAUCAUUUCUGGUGGCCCGUACAGGGAUCUUGCUUCGCCGGCUUGUGAGUUCAAGUUCUGAGAAAUUCAUGGAAAGGAUUCUGACACAGGAUUCCAGAAAACACUUUUCUGAUAAACUUUCAGAUCAUAAAACUGAACUGGAUCCCUCCAGAUUUUGGAAACGUAGUGAGGGAUCUGUACACCUUGUCAGCCUUGGACUCCAUGGAUGCAACCUUCCAGUCCACUGAACGUCCUGCCUGUACCCCUAUGGUCCCCAUUUAGGGACAGCUCUACAACCUUGUACGGCCGGGAGUAGUUACAGAAGACUGACCAUUGUCCAUAUCGCCAAAGGAUUUCCAGGCCAAAUGGGUUCAGGGAGGAUUUCAUGAUGAGGAUCAAGGCUGCCCCAGGGAGAGAAGCCCAAGGCGUCCCGGCCUACAUGUCAAUCUAUAUCACCCUCCAGGAAGCAUAGGACAUCCUGAACUGAUUCGACCUGACUCAUAUCCAAAGUUAUAGGACCACCCAAUAACCAGACCCCACCUGCACUGAUACCAUUUUAAUGACUUUUUUACAUGAUCUUUCCUUUGUCUUGUAAAGAGAUAACUCAUACACCUACACCUUAUAAAUUUAGCCCUGCCCUCAAUCCAUUACAGCUCUUCACUGCCCAUGGGUCCUGUCGCCAUGCUAUUCUCUGAAUAAAAGAGCACUACUACCAG
ensembl:lncRNA